rnacentral:misc_RNA from 1 species
UUGAUUGAACUGCGAGGCAAGGACCGGGCAAAACAGCGACCAAAUGCAAGAUGAACCCGGAUCAAGCGAUGUCAAUGCAAAACGGGGCGCCGCCUCCGCCCCCCUCGCAGCUGACCGCCCACACAAUCGCCGCGUCCUCCGUCACCGCUGCCCCGCCCACCGGCUCCAUGGCCGCCCCCACAGCCCUUCACUACGGCGGCGGCAUGGGAGGCAUGCCGCCCACUUCGUCCGCCGGCGGCACGGCCGGCAACUAUGUCUCCAUCGGCAUCCUGCCCAGCAUGUCGCCCGCCCAGCUGCCCCCGCUCCUCCUGCCCGCUCCGCCCCCAGCGACGACGACCUUCAAGACCACGCCCCUGCUGCCCAUGCCCACGCUCGAGGACAUUGAGGUGGCCAACCAGCCGGGCGGCCAGAGCGGUCAAGUGGUCGUGUCCUUGGCCCAAACAUCGAUGGCGCCGCCGGGCAUUUUGAAGUACCCCACGGCGGGCUAUGUGGGCGACAUGAUGGCACCGCCGCCCAGCCUGCCGCUCUCCAUGUCGCUGCCCCAUCCGCAGCCGCCGCUGCUGCCGCUGACCUCCAUUGCCGGCAGCGCCGCCGGCAGCAACAACAGCAACACCAGCGGCAGCAACAGCAACUGCGGCACGCUGAAAAGCAAUGCGAAACUGUUGCCGCUCCAACUGAUGGCCACGCCCCCCAGCCGCAAGGAGCCGCUGACGCCCGCCCACCCGCAGGCGGCAUCGAUUCAGGCCCAGGCGCAGGUGCAGCACCAGCUGCAGCAGCAGCACCAGCAGCAGCAGCAGCAACAGCAGCAACAGCAGCAGCAGCAACGGCAGCGCAAGCGGCAGGGAUGGUGCUCCUGCUUCAGCUCGGGAGCAGGGGGUGUGGCCACGGGGGGCGGCGGUGGAAGCGGUGGCGGUGGGGUUGGCGGUGCGGGGGAGACCGGAAAGACGCCACCCGGAUACGGAAGCAAGGACAAGAAGAAGAGCCGCAAGGCCACCUCGCAAACGGUGUGGUCCGCCCUGCUGACAAACCUGGGCAUCUGCAUGCUGCUGCUCGCCUACACACUGCUGGGCUCCUUCAUCUUCCUGACCAUCGAGAACGAGGACUCGGCUUUGCUGCAUCAGCAGCACACUCUGGCCAGCACCAAGCGCAAUUUGGCUGGCCUCGGGAUCGGUGCAGCGGGAAUCGGGAGCAGUAUCUAUCAGCAGCAGCAGCAAAGGACACCACAUCAGCAGCAGCAGCAGCAGCAGCAUCAGGCAGUACAAGGACGUCAUACCGACAAUGACACGAUGGCCGCUGCAGCCGCAGCUGUCGCCGCCCAGGGAAUGGUGGCCGGAAGCGCCACUGCCGGCGGCCUCAAUCCAUUUAGCCAGCCCGCAUCCAGUGGCGACUUUGUUUACGGCCUGGACGGCAUGGAAGCGACCGAUCUGGAGGCGGGCGGAAUGCCCCAGUUCGCCCUCUCGCCGGACACCUACGAUGUGCGGCAGCGGACCAUCGAGAAUAUCUGGGACAUCACUGUCUCGCUGAACAUCCUCUACAAGGAGAACUGGACAAAAUUAGCCGCACUUGAAAUAGCCAAGUUUCAAGACCAAUUAAUCAAGAGACUGAACGAGGAUGUUAUGCUGCAAUUAUCGCACGACGAUGUGGCCAACGCCCCCUCCUCCUCGUCAUCAUCGUCGUCGGGCGCCUCUGGUGUUCCGGGUAGCAACAAUCCGGCCACGGAAGCCGUGCUCCUACACACACACUAUCACCAUCAUCGUGCCGGAGGCGUUGGGGGCGUGGCAGUGGGCGGAGGGCCGCCGCAUGAGUGGAAUUUUGCCAAAGCGUUUUUGUAUUCGCUGACCGUUUUGACCACAAUUGGCUAUGGAAACGUUGCGCCGCGAACGACGCUCGGGAGGAUCGUGACCCUGGCGUACGCCUUCUUCGGCAUCCCACUGACAUUGGUCUACCUGAGCAGUACGGGCAGCAUUUUGGCCAGGGUGGCCCGCGAGGUCUUCUCGAAGGCCCUGUGCUGUUGUCUCUGCUCGAAUUGUGGCUAUUGCUGCUACGACGAGAAGCGGAUGGCCGAAAAGGAGCGCCGGAUGCGGCGCAAGAGGCAGCAGGAGGAGCUACGCAAGCAGCAGGCCGUCAUGCAGGAGCCGUAUUACGUGAGGGAUGUCUUUCAUGCCACGCCCGAAAAGGAUGCGGGUGCUGGGGCACCACCGCCGAAUGCCGGCGUACCGGGAGGAUCCGUCGGUGGCCUGGGCGACAUCGAUUCGCUCAGUGCCAGCGAGUCCAGGGGCUCCAUGCACGGCCUGAGUAUCUUGGCCCCCAUUCUGCUCUGCUUCUCCAUGAUGAUCAUCUACAUUGUUUUCGGUGCCGCCGUCUUAUAUCGCCUGGAAAACUGGCCCAUUCUGGAUGGCAUAUACUUCUGCUUCAUGAGCCUGUCCACCAUUGGUUUUGGCGAUAUGCUGCCGGGAUUGCGGCGGGAAUCGAAUGCCACCACCUGGUUCUGUUCGGUAUACAUAAUGUCGGGCAUGACCCUAACGGCCAUGUGCUUCAAUGUCAUACACGAGGAGAUUGUCCAUCGCAUUCGCAUUGUGGUGGAGUUCAAGAAGACGAGUGCUGCUAACUCGGGCGGUGGUUUGAUCGGAGGCGGCAGUGUGUCGGGUGGUGCAGGUGGUGCUGGUGGUUCCAUGAUGGAUGUGGCGCACGAGGAGGGUAGCCAGUACUAUGUGCCAGCGUCCUGACACUACGAGAAGCGAGGACAUCUCUACCAGCGCAACCCCACCGAAGAGACCCUGGUGACAGACACACCCACAUCGCUGGUGAUGAAGGAUUACGUAAACCACGAGCUGGUGCCCAUCCUAACAAUGGACCCCAAUGGCGCCCGCCUGGC